AGUGGGAUGUGAAAAGCCCGCCGAGGUGCCCAAGGAGACGUGAGAGGCGGGGAGAGAAAGGGGAGAUGCUGGAGGGGCGACGUGGCCCCACGGCAGGAGCCGGUUCCAGGCGGGGGCGCCUGGGUGCUCCAGGUCAGAUUACGGGGGCCCGACACCCGCAGUGACUUGGCAGAACGCCGGCUCCACACCGGGCGAAACAGGCACCCACCCAUCGCUGGAUCCACCAGGCUCCUCGCUCAUCGCGUAACCUAAACGCACCCCCCCCCCCCGCCCCCGCCUGCACACCAAGGAGUUAAUUGCUUCAACCCUGAGAUCUUUCUCGAACCUUCCAGCUCUGUUGGGGGCUGGCCAAAUGCAAGCUCGCUCCCAGAGGCAAACCGUAGCUCCUUAGCGACCAAUGCCAGGGUGACUGGCGAUGGAGAGCCGUUGGGGGCCUCAGGUGCUGGAAGAGGAGUAUUUACUGUCGGCCUUCACACACCUUAUGUCUGGAAAAGCUGCGUCGGAGCACCAGGGGGAUGAAGGGGGGGUAUCUGCUAGCCCCCCUUAUUAGUGGCUUCUAAAUGCCACUCACCACGAGAAGAUUCAGGGCUCUUUGAAGAAAUCGCUUUUUCUAGGGCUGAGCCAGGAAAGUACAAGAUGAGCUUGGAACAUCUUGUGCCAGAAAGUAAGGGAGUGCUCAGAGGAUGCUGGGGACAUAUCAGAAUGAUACGAGAGGCAGCCCAGAGAGGGUCUCACUAGGUCAAAUCUGGACAAUUGAAGCACCAAAAUAAAUAAUAUUAAGAUUUCUAGUUCCCACCAAGUUGGAGUAGCCCCAUUCCUCCCAAACCCUCCUGCUUGCAACUAAAGAUUCCUGUAGCACAACAAACAGGAAGUUCUGAAAGGUGGAAAGAAAACAAACUUCUUAAGGACCCCCAGGAUUUGAGAAAUAACAGGGCAGUGAAUUUCCUCAGCUGCCUCACUGCCACCUGUAAGCCCUGGAUGGGGGCCCAUCCAGAACCGCCCACAGGAGCGGAAGAAAAAUAAAAAAUAAAAAGCCACGGGGAAAGUCUGCUCCCCUUGGCCAAAGGUGCCACAAUACAGGUGGACUAACAACAGGAAACUUUUUAGGUAAUACCAGCCCCGCAGCAGCCGGGUACCAAUGGAAAAUUCACCCCCACUCACUUGAACAGAUUACACCAGGCAGCGAGAGAGGGGAUCUAAUCCGGAAUUGCACAUUCUCCUCACGUCUCGGGUCAGCAGGGCCCAGCAAGCAGUCAUUCUGACUGGUGUGCAUCAGUGUUUGGUUUACGCAUUUUGAAGCUCUUUCGUCUGGUACCUGCACAUUUAGGAUUGUUACAUCUUCCUGCAAAAAAAAAGUGGAAAAAUCGACUUAUGUGAAGAAGGCACGGAUCACUUUUCCAGAAACAAAUUUUAUCUUGAUUUCAAGGAGGAAAAACCUGUCUGUGAUGACUUUCUGUCAUUCAAGUAUAUUUUGAAUUAAAGGGU